AUUAACGCUGGCGGCGUGCAUGAGACAUGCAAGUCGAGCGGACGGGCGAGCUUGCUCGCCCGUUAGUGGCGGACGGCUGAGUAACGCGUGGGUGACCUGCCCCGAAGUGGGGAAUAACUGCCCGAAAGGGUGGCUAAUACCGCAUGUGGUGACUGGUUCGUUCCAGUCUCCAAAGCCGCAAGGCGCUUCGGGAGGGGCCUGCGUCCGAUUAGCUCGUUGGUGGGGUAACGGCUCACCAAGGCGACGAUCGGUAGGUG
rnacentral:rRNA from 1 species